UACGAGGGGGCAAGCGUUGUUCGGAAUUAUUGGGCGUAAAGGGUGCGUAGGCGGUUUGUAAGUCUUGUGUGAAAUCUUCAGGCUCAACUUGAAGACUGCACGAGAAACUGCAGGGCUUGAGUGUGGGAGAGGUGAGUGGAAUUCCGUGGUGUAGCGGUGAAAUGCGUAGAUAUCAGGAGGAACACCUGUGGCGAAAGCGGCUCACUGGACCACAACUGACGCUGAUGCACGAAAGCUAGGGGAGCAAACAGG
rnacentral:rRNA from 1 species